GGAAGAUAAUGAGGAAACUUUAAAGGGUUAAGGACUAUAGGAAUAGCUCUUAAGUUUUAGAAGAAAAACAUUACGGUGUGUGAAAGGGGUCUAGUGUAGUUUGAAUAUGUUUCACAUGUGGUUUUGGAUUCUGAUAAUAUCCUCCAGCUCCCUUUGACUCACUUAGGUCACUCCUAAAAUUUUAUCAGUAGAGAAUUAGCAGACAUGGAGGAGAGGAUUUUUAAGAGUUUAGUUGAGCUUUAACUAGAAUUUGUGGUGCUUUAGUCUGCUUCGUUGAAAUUACACGAGGGAGUUCAUUUUCCCUUCUUUAAUUCUUAGGGUUGUUGUUUAAUAAUAGAUGAUAUCUCAGUGAUCUGCUUGAUAUUUGUGUGUGUUUGUGUCUGCCUGCUAGAAACUGAAAACACUGUACAAAAAAAUCUUUGGACAUGACAGUA
rnacentral:lncRNA from 1 species